rnacentral:rRNA from 1 species
AAUAUUUGACAAUGGGCGAAAGCCUGAUCCAGCCAUGCCGCGUGUGUGAAGAAGGUCAUAGGAUUGUAAAGCACUUUAAGUUGGGAGAAAGGGGUGUAGGUUAAUACCCUGCAAUUUUGACGUUACCAACAGAAUAAGCACCGGCUAAGUUCGUGUCAGCAGCCGCGGUAAAACGAAGGGUGCAAGCGUUAAGCGGAAUUACUGGGCGUAAAACGCGCGUAAGUGGUUCUUUAAGUUGGAAGUGAAAGCCCCGGGAUUAACCUGGGAAUUGCUUUCAAAACUGACGAGCUAGAGUACGGUAGAGGGUAGUGGAAUUUCCUGUGUAGCGGUGAAAUGCGUAGAUAUAGGAAGGAACAUCAGUGGCGAAGGCGACUACCUGGACUGAUACUGACACUGAGGUGCGAAAGCGUGGGGAGCAAACAGG